UACGGAGGGGGCUAGCGUUGUUCGGAAUUACUGGGCGUAAAGCGCGCGUAGGCGGCUUUGUAAGUUAGAGGUGAAAGCCCGGAGCUCAACUCCGGAACUGCCUUUAAGACUGCAUCGCUAGAAUUGUGGAGAGGUGAGUGGAAUUCCGAGUGUAGAGGUGAAAUUCGUAGAUAUUCGGAAGAACACCAGUGGCGAAGGCGACUCACUGGACACAGUAUUGACGCUGAGGUGCGAAAGCGUGGGGAGCAAACAGG
rnacentral:rRNA from 1 species